CAAAAUGUAAUUUAAUUAAAAUAUUUCAUUUACACUGAAACGAUAUCUUUUGAGAUCAUUUUGA
rnacentral:tRNA from 1 species